rnacentral:rRNA from 1 species
CUAUCACUCCUACGGGAGGCAGCAGUGAGGAAUACUGGAUGCAGGCGAGCCUGAACCAGCCAUGCCGCGUGCAGGAAGACUGCCUUAUGGGUUGUAAACUGCUUUUAUAUGGGAAGAAACCCCUCUACGUGUAGAGGCUUGACGGUACCAUAAGAAUAAGCACCGGCUAACUCCGUGCCAGCAGCCGCGGUAAUACGGAGGGUGCAAGCGUUAUCCGGAAUCAUUGGGUUUAAAGGGUCCGCAGGCGGUCAAUUAAGUCAGAGGUGAAAUCCUAUAGCUUAACUAUAGAACUGCCUUUGAUACUGGUUGACUUGAGUUAUACGGAAGUAGGUAGAAUGUGUAGUGUAGCGGUGAAAUGCAUAGAUAUUACACAGAAUACCGAUUGCGAAGGCAGCCUACUACGUAUAUACUGACGCUCAUGGGACAGAAAGCGUGGGGAGCGAACAGGAUUAGAUACCCUGGUAG